CUCUGCUGCAACAAAACAGCACAGCAGCAGCCUAGAACUAGCAACCUGUGAAAAAGGCAUACAAAUGCUAAGAGGCGAGCUGAUCAUAGAGCUCAUUGUGCUCAAUUCUUAAGAAAAAUUGGGACUAUAUAGAAAGAAGUGGAGGGGCCAGCUGUAGUUUCUCACUGUCAGUUUCUCAAUUCAUUUUCCCCCUUUGCUGUUUCACUUGCUCUGUAAGAUACGAUUCAUUAAUCCAGAGGGCACACAACUCGCUGGCUCGGCAAGCUGAG
rnacentral:lncRNA from 11 species